rnacentral:tRNA from 1 species
GUUCUCAUAGUUAAAUAACAACGGUGGUUUUUCAAGUCAUUAGUCCUGGUUAGAGCCCAGGUGGGAAUA